UUAAGAUCAACAUAUAUUUCAGUUCAAAUCUUUACGCCUCGUUUGCGUAAUAAAGAAAUGCUCCUGAAUGAAAAGCCUGCAUGUUGUGAGUCCGUUUAUACGCCAUCCAAAUGGCUUUGACAGUGUAUAAACAGAUACAAAUUGACUUUAACCGGCUCUGUCACAUUAUAUAUUCAGCAGGCAUCCCGAGCGGCAGGCCGAUUAUAACAUGGAGCGUAAUCGGUUUUAUUGGAUCAUAUUGCCGUUCACAUAUAACCGCCAGCGGCCUACAAACAUUUUCUACCUCGGGUAAAUUUAUCCGCACGUCUAUACCCCAAAGGUCAACAUUUCCUCCAUUUCCCCUCUCCUGUAACGUCGCUGUAAUGCCCCCAAUCCACCCGGGAGUGCUCUCAUCAGCACACGCACUGUUCACCUCAAAUUCCCAACAGACAUUUUUUCCAGCUUUCAACUUAAUCACUUGUGUCAGCGAAAAAAAAUGGGCUGCUGCUGCGCACCAAGGAAAAACGAUACCAUUAGACCGGAGCGGAGUUUGAUGAAAAUACGCGACGCGUAGCGUUGGGAAGUUUGCAGCGGGAUAACUAUGGAUGCCGACAGUCGGUGUCGUGUAAAGUGCUGAUAAUAUUACCGGCUGCUUCUAAUUUGCCUCCUUUUCAGGCGCUCGAACCAGGCCGAUGCAGAUAUAUCGGCGUAGUAUAUUAAGCAAAUGGAAUUGUCGACGCCAGUUUAUUGACUAAACACUCACGCUCUGCUUGGCGUACUUCUUAAAUUAUUAUGGCGCAUAUUACCGGGAGGCGACCAUUGCCCAACUUACCAUGGACGAAUUCUUGGAUCAUAAUCGUUAUAAAAUCCUGCAAAAUUCAUAUCCCAUUCGCGACCGGGAUAUAAUCGGAUCAAGCCCACGUUCGUACCGAAAUACUGCCAUCUGCAAGAUUGCACAUAACAGGGUCAUUCCCAGGAAUCAAACAAUACAAAAUGUUGUACUGCCAGUAAACUCAGUGUAUUGGGUACAACCGUACAAAUAUUUCUUUGAUUACUAAAAAGGAUUGGAAUUUCCACAGCGAGUGUGAUUUUGUUACCGUAUAAACUGAUCUGAUUUGCGAUUCUGCCGGAACACCCCAUCCAGCUCAACACUGUAAUAGACGGCAUCGAUGAUUUCCUCGCUAUCUCGAGGGACUUGGUCGGGGAUCUUAACAGUGCGCGCGGACAAUCGAACAGAAGAGAGAGGGAGCAACGGCUCUCCCUUGUCUAUAUAUCGUCAUGACCAAUACAAAACAUUUACAUCGGAACCGAUAUGGUGGUAACAACCGGCAAUUUCUCCCGUUUCCUACAUAACAUUUUGUCUGCCGGCGCGGUCGUAAUCGCCCCGGUGUACACGGCAUCGAUCGUACCCAUGAUGACCGUUAUUAUCGACACAUAACAACCGUUUCCCGACGACUACUUACGGACUGAUCUUUUUGGGUAAUACGGUAUGCGGUAUGUCGGAGUCACGAUAUAAAUUCAACGGCAUAUCCCGUAAGCGUUUGUAGCGGAUGGUGGUGUUCUCGAACUUGGAGCGCAGAUAGUCAUCGUGCAGCUUAAUGGCGUGGCUGGCAAUCCGCUACGGAAAUGAAAAACGCCAUUUCAUCUCAGCGAUCAGAUGAGUGUUAUUAAUACGCCGGCACAUAUAUGCGCACCUUGGCUGCCACCUCUUUCCGGCGGAGAUAAUCCUUUAAGCUGGUCUCCACGUUGUUCAUCAGGGAAUCGCCGUCCUUCUGCUCGAAUGUGUAGUUGGCUGAAUCGAACAGGGCCUGGGUCUUAUCGCGACCGAUGCCCAAAUUGGCCAGCUGCAAUGAUAUACAUAAGAGAGGUGUAAGUUUAACGAUGCCAUCCAUUCCACCAAACGGCUGCGCCUCACAAACGCCCCGGCUGAGUACACUUGAUAAAAAAAACUCAUUUUGCCUAGCGACUGCGCUCUUCGGGCCCCGUUACAUGCAUGCAUCCCGUGCCGGAAGUUCUACCAUUAAAUUAAAUUAAACAAGCUACCAUUAAAUUAAUCUGUAAACGGCAAUCAGUUCCUCCGACAGUUAACGCGCGUACAA